CAGAUUUUCCCCAAAAUCACUUUGGCCCUGAGGCUCCAUCAAUCCCCCCAAGAAAAGAAGAGACAGGAAGAGGAAAUACUAGAGUGCAUGGCAAAUAGGCUCAGGCUGCUAUAACAAGAAUACCACAGACUGGGUGCUGUAAACAACAAUUAUAUCUGACAGUUCUGGAGGCUGGGAAGUCCGAGAUCACGGUGCCAACAUGGUCAGGUGCUGUAGCACUGAUUUGCUGAAAACACUAGAGCCAGAGCAACAAGUGCCCUACAUACAAAUGAGUUCUGUUCUGAG